UAGCCUUGCUACCUGACCUAGCGGCGGACGGGUGAGUAAUGCUUAGGAAUCUGCCUAUUAGUGGGGGACAACAUUCCGAAAGGAAUGCUAAUACCGCAUACGCCCUACGGGGGAAAGCAGGGGAUCUUCGGACCUUGCGCUAAUAGAUGAGCCUAAGUCAGAUUAGCUAGUUGGUGGGGUAAAGGCCUACCAAGGCGACGAUCUGUAGCGGGUCUGAGAGGAUGAUCCGCCACACUGGGACUGAGACACGGCCCAGACUCCUACGGGAGGCAGCAGUGGGGAAUAUUGGACAAUGGGCGAAAGCCUGAUCCAGCCAUGCCGCGUGUGUGAAGAAGGCCUUUUGGUUGUAAAGCACUUUAAGCGAGGAGGAGGCUACUUAGAUUAAUACUCUAGGAUAGUGGACGUUACUCGCAGAAUAAGCACCGGCUAACUCUGUGCCAGCAGCCGCGGUAAUACAGAGGGUGCGAGCGUUAAUCGGAUUUACUGGGCGUAAAGCGUGCGUAGGCGGCUUCUUAAGUCGGAUGUGAAAUCCCUGAGCUUAACUUAGGAAUUGCAUUCGAUACUGGGAAGCUAGAGUAUGGGAGAGGAUGGUAGAAUUCC
rnacentral:rRNA from 1 species